CCUACGGGUGACUGCAGUGAGGAAUAUUGGUCAAUGGACGAGAGUCUGAACCAGCCAAGUAGCGUGAAGGAUGACUGCCCUAUGGGUUGUAAACUUCUUUUAUAAAGGAAUAAAACGAGGCACGUGUGCCUUUUUGCAUGUACUUUAUGAAUAAGGAUCGGCUAACUCCGUGCCAGCAGCCGCGGUAAUACGGAGGAUCCGAGCGUUAUCCGGAUUUAUUUGGUUUAAAGGGAGCGUAGAUGGGUUGUUAAGUCAGUUGUGAAAGUUUGCGGCUCAACCGUAAAAUUGCAAUUGAUACUGGCAGUCUUGAGUACAGUUGAGGUAGGCGGAAUUCGUGGUGUAGCGGUGAAAUGCUUAGAUAUCACGAAGAACCCCGAUUGCGAAGGCAGCUUACUAAACUGUGACUGACAUUGAUGCUCGAAAGUGUGGGUAUCAAACAGGAUUAGAUACCCUGGUAGUC
rnacentral:rRNA from 1 species